UAGGGAAUCUUCGGCAAUGGACGGAAGUCUGAUCGAGCAACGCCGCGCGAGUGAAGAAGGUUUUCGGAUCGUAAAGCUCUGUUGUUAGAGAAGAACGUUGGUAGGAGUGGGAAAUCUACCAAGUGACGGUAACUAACCAGAAAGGGACGGCUAACUAUGUGCCAGCAGCCGCGGUAUUACGUAGGUCCCGAGCGUUGUCCGGAUUUAUUGGGCGUAAAGCGAGCGCAGGCGGUUCUUUAAGUCUGAAGUUAAAAGCAGUGGCUUAACCAUUGGUCGCUUUGGAAACUUGAGGGCUUUGGUGCAGAAGAAGAGAGUGGAAUUCCAUGUGUAGCGUUAAAAUUCGUAAAUAUAUGGGGGAACUCCGGUGACAAAAACUACUCUCUCGUCUGUCACUAACGCUGAGGCUAGAAAGCGUGGGGAGCAAACAGC
rnacentral:rRNA from 1 species